UGAAGAAUGGAGGAGGUGAAACACCUCUAUACGCCUUCAUCCUUGUAGCUGUACUGCUGCUGUUACUGCUGCUGGGAGGGGUCAUAUUCCUGUACAUGAGGCACAAAGGCCAAAAAGGAGGAAGUACACAGUCAGGAGGAAUGCAGGAGCGAAAUAAUGAUUCCUCAUAUGAAGCUCUUCAGCAUCGCUACAAUGCAGAGCAAAUGUACUCAACCAUUGGGCAGAACGCUGGGGUCCAGGCCACUGCUGCAGAUUAUGAAAAUCUGAGUUCAGAUUGAUGUUCCUGCAUUAGUCAGCAGAUGGCGCCAUCUCAACUCACCCCUCAGCAGUAUGUUGCAUCUCAACUCCCCCCUCAGCAGUUAUGUUGCUUGUUAGAAUACAUCUGUAGUUGUAUGCAACAGGUUAGCUUGUUUUUGUACAAAGGGUCUCAAUCAUUGACUGUAUUGGUCUCAAUGCUGUUUCAAUUCCAUUGCAGUAGCUUCAUGGUAGCCACUAGCAAGUAACCGAGUCAAUGAUGUGUAGAUAUAGUGGAACUGACUUUACUGUAAUAGUUCAGCUGGUUUAGAUAAUUCCCCUUUUCCAUUCGAUACAAUCUCAAGUUUUAUGGUGAAAAUAGAAAAUGUGUCAUAUUGCAUGACACAGUUUAACACAGGAUGUGGAGGGAUGGUGUA